rnacentral:rRNA from 1 species
GGUCAAGCGAACAAGUGCAUGUGGUGGAUGCCUUGGCGAUCACAGGCGAUGAAGGACGCGGUAGCCUGCGAAAAGCUACGGGGAGCUGGCAAACGAGCUUUGAUCCGUAGAUGUCCGAAUGGGGAAACCCACUCCUUUUGGAGUAUCCAUGACUGAAUACAUAGGUCAUGUGAGGCGAACGCGGUGAACUGAAACAUCUAAGUAACCGCAGGAAAAGAAAUCAACCGAGAUUCCCAAAGUAGUGGCGAGCGAAAUGGGAAGAGCCUGUACUCUUUAUUUGUAUUGUUAGCCGAACGCUCUGGAAAGUGCGGCCAUAGCAGGUGAUAGCCCUGUAGGCGAAAACAGUAUGAAAGAACUAGGUGUACGACAAGUAGGGCGGGACACGUGAAAUCCUGUCUGAAGAUGGGGGGACCAUCCUCCAAGGCUAAAUACUCGUGAUCGACCGAUAGUGAACCAGUACCGUGAGGGAAAGGCGAAAAGAACCCCGGGAGGGGAGUGAAAUAGAUCCUGAAACCGCAUGCAUACAAACAGUCGGAGCCUCUUCGGGGGUGACGGCGUACCUUUUGUAUAAUGGGUCAGCGACUUACGUUCAGUAGCAAGCUUAACCGAAUAGGGCAGGCGUAGCGAAAGCGAGUCCGAAUAGGGCGUUCAGUUGCUGGGCGUAGACCCGAAACCAGGUGAUCUAUCCAUGGCCAGGAUGAAGGUGCGGUAACACGUACUGGAGGUCCGAACCCACUAACGUUGAAAAGUUAGGGGAUGAGCUGUGGAUAGGGGUGAAAGGCUAAACAAACCUGGAAAUAGCUGGUUCUCUCCGAAAACUAUUUAGGUAGUGCCUCGUGUCUCACCUUCGGGGGUAGAGCACUGUCAUGGUUGGGGGGUCUAUUGCAGAUUACCCCGCCAUAGCAAACUCCGAAUACCGAAGAGUGCAAUCACGGGAGACAGACAUCGGGUGCUAACGUCCGGUGUCAAGAGGGAAACAACCCAGACCGCCAGCUAAGGUCCCCAAAUAUGGCUAAGUGGGAAACGAAGUGGGAAGGCUAAAACAGUCAGGAGGUUGGCUUAGAAGCAGCCACCCUUUAAAGAAAGCGUAAUAGCUCACUGAUCGAGUCGUCCUGCGCGGAAGAUGUAACGGGGCUAAGCCAUAUACCGAAGCUGCGGAUGCGUGCUUGCACGCAUGGUAGGAGAGCGUUCCGUAAGCCUGCGAAGGUGCACUGUAAGGUGUGCUGGAGGUAUCGGAAGUGCGAAUGCUGACAUGAGUAGCGAUAAAGGGGGUGAAAGGCCCCCUCGCCGUAAGCCCAAGGUUUCCUACGCAACGUUCAUCGGCGUAGGGUGAGUCGGCCCCUAAGGCGAGGCAGAAAUGCGUAGCUGAUGGGAAGCAGGUCAAUAUUCCUGCACCGUCGUUAGAUGCGAUGGGGGGACGGAUCGCGGAAGGUUGUCCGGGUGUUGGAAGUCCCGGUCGCUGCAUUGGAGAAGGCGCUUAGGCAAAUCCGGGCGCAGGAUUCAAGGGUGUGGCGCGAGCUCCUUCGGGAGCGAAGCAAUUGGAAGUGGUUCCAAGAAAAGCCUCUAAGCUUCAGUCUAACGAUGACCGUACCGCAAACCGACACAGGUGGGCGAGAUGAGUAUUCUAAGGCGCUUGAGAGAACUCGGGAGAAGGAACUCGGCAAAUUGGUACCGUAACUUCGGGAUAAGGUACGCCCUGGUAGCUUGA